UUUUUUUUUUUUUCAAACUACAGGUCAUGGGUCUGAGGUGAACUUGAAGUUCCAUCCUUCCUAACACCGCCAAGUUUGGUCUGUUAGAAUUCUAGUGUGGUUGGAUCCUCAGUGGAGGACUUUGCACAGGUUCACCAACUGCUUUGAGCCUCAAUUUUCUGUAAAAGGGUUAAUAGCCCCUCCUUAAACCAUGUUUCCCUUCUCAUAAGGCAACAAACAAAAACUUGAAGGGAUUGGUUUUAACACAUUUGAGUGGGACUUAGAUGCCAUAUAAAGAUGCAAAAGAUUCCAGCUUUGUCCUCAUGGAACUGACAAGCAGGAGAGAAAAUCUGACCCAGAUUGCUACCCAGAUUGUAAGCCAUAACAUGUGAAGAUUCAGAGUGUUUAAGUAUAUUCCAUUUCUUUUUUUAAAAUAUUUUUUAGUUGUCAAUGGACCUUUAUUUAAUGAAUUUAUUCAUAAGUGGUGCUGAGAAUCGAGCCCAAUGCCUCACACAUGCUUUACCACUGAGCCAUAACCCCAGCCCGUCCC
rnacentral:lncRNA from 1 species